rnacentral:lncRNA from 7 species
GCUGUUUGCUGAGGGAUUAGGGCCGGUCCCGCCGCGCCGGGGCCCGGGAUGGGGGUGGGGUGGGGGGGCGGCGGGCGCGGUGGGUGUCCCCGCGGAGAAGUCCGUUUGGAGAUCUGCGCUGAUUAACUGAGGGCUGCGGUGGCUGAAGAGGGCCCUGGCGCCAGGCGGCUGAGCCCUCACAAUAAAGACCCGUCUCUUGUCACUUCAUAUUUACCCCCAAAUCUUCAAAAAGCGCCCUGCGAUCCUUACAAGGCUCCUGCCCCCGCCGCCUGCGCUGCGGCCAGACGGGACGGGGACGGGGGGGCGGAGGCGGCCCCCUCCUCUGCCCACGGCUCCGCGGGUGCGCAGCGACGCGCUGCCUUCCUGGGGACCGCGCUGGGCCGCUCCCCGCGGAGGGUGAGACGCGGGGACCCCCGGCAGCCCUCUCCCCACCGCCACCUCUCCGCUGUUUCUCCCCACAUCGUGGUUCAUCGUGCUGCCAGCAAACCCCGGUGCUGCGAAGGGCCCGAGGAGAAGCCCCGGAGGCGGGCACAGCCGGACCCCGAGACACACUCCUCGGCCACAGCCGGGCCCUGGGCAGGGGGAGUCGCCACCUCGAGCCCCGCCCGAGCCCAUGGGCCCUUUCCCAAGUCGGGGGGAGAAGGGUCCCCUCACCAUCCCGCUUACAGUGCCUCCUGUCCGUGGGCACUGCUUCCUUCGGGGCUCCGUGCGCGGCCCCGACGGCGCUCCCCGGGCCGGGUGGCAUCAGCCGGGCUCCUCCGGGGAACCACUCCGGGGAUCAGCUCCGAGGAAGGGGCCCGGCCCAGCCGCCCCCGCGCCGCGGCCCCGCUCCCUCUUCCCUUUCAUCUCUGCCCAUCUCCACUCAUCAUCUCUUUUCUAUUUUUAGCCGGUAGACUUAGGCCUUGGCGCCAGGCCGUUUAAGACCUGUCAAAGUCCUUCAUAUUUCCCUCAUGUCACAUGGACCUUUCGCUCCCUUCCCCGCGCCAUGCGAGGGCCGUAAUUUGGAUCUGUGAGCUGGUGAGCAAAUGCAAUUUGCUCUUCUCCAUCGCUGCGUUGUCUCCGUGACCCCAGCCAGCAGGACGGCUGGUGUCCUGUCCGGGGCACUUACACAAAUUGCGGCUGAUUGAUGAAAAAUAACAAUUCUCCGAGCAGUCGGGCCUCCGUCUUCCCCUCCUCCCGGCUCCUCCGGGCUGAGGCGGCUCCGCGCCCCGGGGCGCUCCUCUCGACGGUGCGGGGCCGCCCCACGAACCGCCGCCGGCCGCCUCUGGAGUGACUCUCGGAUUGAGCCAAAAAGGGGUUUUCUUCUCGUGCUGGAAGCGAGCCGUCGGGGCCCGCUUCUCGGCAGAGAUGAAGGGCGUUGUACGCCUGGGCCCUGACGGAGCCGGGCAGCAGCGGCCGUUGUGCACCUUCCAGAGGUGGGAAAAGGCCGGGCCGCGAAAGAGCCGGGUCCGCUGCGGGGGGUUCCUCAGCCCGGUGGGGCCGCCGAGGGCCGGGCUGAGCGGCUGUCCAUCACCGGACGUGGGGCACCAGAGUCCUCUGCACGUGCAGUGCACAGCAAUCCCGCAGGUGCGGGCUGGGAGCUCGUGGAAAUAACCCUUCGCCCUCGGAGGAGCGGCCCCGAAGCUCUCUGCCACUUUUCUCCCUCUCCACCUGGAGAAGAGACACGGGGGAACGUCCCCGCCCCGCGCUGAGGUGCCCGUCGAGGGGCGGCGGCUGCCCCACAGGUGGGGCGGGGAGAGACCCGAUGAUCGCCCCGUCCCGGGCCCCGUGGGAUGCGCCUUUAUGGAUAGCGAUGCCCGGCCCCGGCCACACCACCUCUUCCCGCUGUGCGCCCCGUCCGUGCGGAGGGAACCCCGGCACCCCCUGAGCUCCCCCCACCCUCAGCCUGUUUAGAUUUCUCUCCGAAUGUUUCCCGUAAUCCAGAUUUCUGGAAAAUAACCACACGCGGGCAGACGCGGCCACGAACGCCGCUGAAGUUUAUCCGGAGUUUUACCAACGUAUAAACACAUUUCCAGCCCGUUCGGCGGGGCGGGCGCUGGGUGACCCCUGCCCGGCACCGGGGCUGCACCGCGCUCCGCCCUCGUUACCUCCGCGCCGCUUUGAUCCGGAGCCCUCCGAGCUCCGCCGCUUGAUUGAGUUUUUGCAAUUAAGGAGCGCAGGGAGAGGGAGGGGGGGGGCGGCCGUAACCCCGCACACCCCGGGGCUGCGCACGUCGGGGCGCGGCGCCUCGGCCGCUCCGAGCCCGUUCCCUUAAAAGGCGACGGGAGCCCCGCGCAGCGCCGGGAGGGGGGGGGGGGAACGCGGCGUGAAACCCGAGCGGCACUGCGGGGGGCGGGCGGCGGCGCGGGGCGGGGCGGGGGGAGGUGGGGAGGAUCAUGCAAAUCCCUCUGUUUAAAAAACUUCCAUUUGAGAAAGUGUGUCACAUCCCGGCGCGGGCGUGUAAUCCCCGGGCUAAUGGUAUUACCGCCGCCUCAUCGGCGUAAUGGGAUGGGGCCGGGGGCGACCAUCCCCCGGACCCUCCGCCACGCGUGACCGCAGCCCCAUAGCGCCCGCCCCGUCGGGGCCCCGCUGCCCCACCUCUCCCCCUCCCCGCUCCCCGUCCUCCCUCCCAGGCCCCGCGGUGUCUGUAGGAGAGCGGAGCCCCCGUUUUUGCCGGGGGUUCCCGGAGCAAAACCGACCCCGGGAGGGGAGAGCAGGAGCUGCGCCUCGUGGUCGGUUCAUCUCUUAAAUAAAAGAGAUUAGCGAGCACCGUUAUUUGAUAAAAUAAUGCUGUUAUGGCCACCACCCCCUUCCCCUGUGGGAUUAAAAGUGAGGAUUUGAGGCUGUCCAACAGUCUGACCUGGAUCGCUGCGGGAACAGCCCCCGGGAUGGGCUGUUAGCAACCAAAAAAACCACGGAACUGGGAGAUGUGGGCAAAGGGGCAGCUCUGCCCAUCAGAUGAGACCUGAGGAUGGGCAGCGGUGGGCAAAAGGAGAACCACGACACCCCCAGCAGCCGAGCUGGCCCUGGCCCCGGCCCCUCUGCAGGGCACGGACCCUUCAAACCCCAAAAUGUUUGGGGUAGGAGUUGCAGCACCUGAGUUCAUCACUCCUGGGCUCACACCUUGGGCCCUCAUGCUUCGAACGAGAUUUGGGAACGUAAUCUGGGAUGGAGCUGAACCGGGAGCCGGCACCGCUGCUCUCAUACCACGUUCGUGUUUGUUUGUUUUCUUUUGCUCUCCAUCAGCAUUAGGGCUGCAGAACAGCACUGCCCCGGGUCUGCAGGAGAGCGCUGAGAAAACAAAGGCAGCCCAAACAAAUCACCGCUGCCCGCAGCAGUGACAGCGCGCAGUGCUGCACCUGUCCUCACACUGCUCUCAGUCGCUGGGACCCAACGCCGCGUGGACAGCCAUCCAUCAUUGCUCUGAUUCACAUCUCCAGAGAGCAGCGCUGCCCUGAGCCGCUCUGCAUUUCCCCUCCAUGCUGAAACCCUUUCCUCGGUCCGUCUGUCCUUCCCACUUGCCAUCUGUCUCCCAUCCUUCAAAUAUCACCUUAAAAACAGUCCCUCCACCCUCACAUUGGGGUCCCCCACUCACUCACUGUGCCCUCCCACACGUGGGCUGUGUGUGUUGGCACCGUCCGGGCACCGGGAUGUGUUUGGCAUCGGCCCCAUCUUACGGCCCUAUAAUAAUAUUGUAAAUCCUCACCGGAAAGUAAUUACACCCCAUAAAAGGAGCAGCAGUCUGUGGUCGGAGCCAGGGCCGCUCUGUGACACCCAUUUUAAAGAGAUGUUUCGUGCCUUAUUUAUAGAUUAGAUUUUAACCUGACAACCUUUUAACAUUGUAUUAAAUCAGAAAUUAACUCCGUCUGACUGCUCACCGUGUAAUUGACCCACGGAGGGGCAGAGCGUGGGGGAAUACUGAAGACACGUUUCAGACAGCAAAGUUCCCAAGGAGAUUCCAAACCUUCUCCUUGGUGGAGGGCAGGACUUCGCUAUUAAUUAGUAUGUGUGGUCAGGUGGUGGGGUGGGCAUGGAGGAGGGGCUCUGGGGAGGGGAUGGCAGGAGAUGUGGACAGGGACAGUCCUGGGACUGUCCUGGGACUUCACGUGGUCACAGUGUGAGCCUGCGGUGUCACUGCGUGGUGCACUGCGGGGGCUGUGCACAGCCCUUCCCCACAGCCCUGCAGGGCCGCAGGCGGCAACGGGCACAGCCACAGGGACACACGGGCACAGUGUGGCCGUGCUGUGGCAUCCGGCUCAUACAGGACACUGUCACACAAAGGGAAACUGAAAUCCAGAGCUGAAAUCCCCAGAAGGAGUCAGAGAUGGGGUCAGCCCCUGCAGCAGUGCUGACCCAGAGGGACGGGCAGGCACCGGCUGUGCCACUGCCACGGUGACCCACGGCCGCAUCCCCUCCGAAUUGCAUCCUCUGCUUUCAUGGGGUAAAGGCUCUCCUGGUGUAAGUGAGAGCUGCUCCAGAAAUGUGCACGAGGGGAGAGCACAGCAGGAACACCACCGUCUGAUGGAAGAGAUGAAGACGCUGCAGUGCAAGCUUCGGUUUGUACUUCUGUUCAGUUAAUGUUGAGGAACAGCACGCAAUUCAACGGACCCCAUUUUCAAAAGGCUUAGGGCCUGUUUACAAACAGCUCUGCUUAAACUUGGCCACCAGCUCUGCCAAACCCCGGCCCUGUGCUCACGCACACGGUGCUGGCUGCAUGGGGACGGGGCGGUGCUGCAGGACAGUGUGGGGACAGCGGGGCUGAGCCGUCCUCCUCCACCCACAGCGCUCCCCUUCACCCCACACCCCACGCUCUGGCCCGCCUGAUGCCUCUCAUGGC